AGUGGAGAUGUUUGCUUCCUGAGGUAGGACAGUUGACUAUUCUUGAAACCUUGCCUUUCAUUAAGGUGAGUCAAGACUAGGGAUGUCAAAUAGAGGAGUUGGAUUACUUGCACAACAGUAAAGGUAAAUUACAAAAUUUUGCCUUUAACAUUACCAGCUAUGAAUCUGCAAUAAAAGCAAAUCUGUCUGGAAAGUCAGGCAUUAAACAUUUAGAACUUUUCUGGAGUGGCACCGAAAAAGAUCGCAAUGCCAAUUAUGUUCUGGAGGGUGUCAAAACUCACUGCAAUCUGAAAAGAUUAACAAUUGUGAGUUGUCAAAAUUCGAGUUUUCCCUCAUGGAUAGAGAUAGAAAACUUCUCCUUACAAUUUGUCAACUUAGUUGAGAUCAAAUUGGACCGGUUGAAUGAGUGUGAGCAACUUCCUUCACUUCGGAACUUGCCUUGCCUUCAGAUUCUUCAUAUUUUUGGCCUACACAAAGUGACAUGCAUUAUGGGUAGCUCAAACAUUCUUAACAGUAACAGGAAAGCAGUUUUGCUGUCCCAUCCCUGAAGAAACUUCGGCUGUUGAAUAUGCAUAGGCUGUUUGAGUGGUCAGGUGCAAUGAUUCCACCAGCUGGUUCAUCCAUCAAGUUUUCCCAAAUCUAGAGAAAUUGUAUCUCUACGGGCUUCCUAAGUUGGAUGUUUUACCAAAUCUGGGAAUCCAAACACAUCUACAACGGUUAGAAAUUUGUCAUUGCCAAAGCUUGACUUGUUUGCAGGACAUGACAAUUGUCCAACUUCAUUUUGGUUCACAGAUUGCCCAAAAAUAACUCUUCCUUCUAAAUCUCCAAAAUUGAGUCAGUGCUCUGAGGAUUCCAACUGUCUGGAAGAUCUUCUGUGUACACAGUUUGUGAAGGUCUGUAGAGCUCUUCAGUACGUUCUGUAUGCUGUGGAAUUUAAAGGGCUGGGCAUUACAGAAGCAGAGUGGUUGGACUUUAAGCAAUUACCUUGAACAGAAGCAAUGCAACAGAGGUGCAUUCAAGAAAAUGGCCCCAGAUUGCUCAUAUUCCUGAGUUUGAUAUUGUAGGUCCUCUUCAACACUGGCUUUUGGCACUAGGGGGAGCAACAUAAUCUGAUUGCAGAAUUCAAGCAAUAAGGUUUAUCUUCUUGUAUUAUGCCAAAGCUGCUGAUCCUGUAUUGGCGGCCUCUAGAUAUUAUCGAAGCUUAGUGUUUUUAUAAGCCAAUGCAAUAAGUUGCAGGUUCUUUCAUGUUUGCUUGAGCAAUUUCUUUACCUUCUUAGGAUCCAUUUGGCUAGAUGGACAUUGAAAGUUGCAGCUUGGAAAUCUUCUA